UUUCAUGAGUAGCACACUGUGCACAGUUUACAUUCACAAGAAGGGGGGGAGGCCACCGAAGUGACUUCUCGGUAAUGAUCCUUCCGCAGGUUCACCUACGGAAA
rnacentral:misc_RNA from 1 species